CGCGGCAAAAUCCGUGGGAUACUUUGAGGCAAUUUCUUCAUAGGUCAUCUCUUCGCAAAUACCCUAGGAUGAGUCACAAAGAGGAAGACAUAGCUUUAACUUACAGCGUCAAUUUCGUUGAGAGCCUUCCACCUUUCCUGCGGUGCCUUUACGUCAGCCGCGGUCUGAAUGGUUCUCUUCAGCCAGCUAGUCCAAACUCUCAAACCCUAUGUAUGCAGAUGUAACGUUAUUUAACAUAACACACGGGAUGAGACUGCUUCGAAAGUCAAGUGUGCGACCAAAGUGCGGAGAAUAAUAUGGCGCUUAUAUAAUACAUAUGAAGUGUGCAUACUAUAAUCAUUGAAUACAUAUAUAUAUAUAGCAUACUGUAUUAUAAAUUAUAUAUACAUUUUUUUAAAUUAAAAUAGUUAUUUAAAUGAUUGAAUGAUUGAAUUAUUACUUAAAUGAUGAAUUUAAAUGAUUAUAUCUAUCUAUUUAUUUAUCCUCGUAUUAUUAUAAAAACUAAGAAACGAUAAUGAUUGGAAUCAAAAUAUAAAAAUUUUUGUCGCGAUA